rnacentral:rRNA from 1 species
GCAGCAGCCGCGGGAAAACGAAGGGGGCUAGCGUUACUCGGAAUUACUGGGCGUAAAGGGCGCGUAGGCGGCACGAUUAGUCAGGCGUGAAAUUCCUGGGCUCAACCUGGGGACUGCGCUUGAUACGGUCGAGCUAGAGGAUGGAAGAGGGUUGUGGAAUUCCCAGUGUAGAGGUGAAAUUCGUAGAUAUUGGGAAGAACACCGGUGGCGAAGGCGGCAACCUGGUCCAUUACUGACGCUGAGGCGCGACAGCGUGGGGAGCAAACAGGAUUAGAUACCCGCGUAGUCCCUGUCUCUUAUAC